AUUGAACGCUGGCGGCAGGCCUAACACAUGCAAGUCGAGCGAGCGGCGGACGGGUGAGUAAUGUAUGGGGACUGCCCGAUAGAGGGGAAUAACUACUGGAAACGGUGGCUAAUACCGCAUACUCUAGGAUAACCCAUAUGGGAUUAGCUAGUAGGUGGGGUAAAGGCUCACCUAGGCGGCGAUCUCUAGCUGGGCUGAGAGGAUGAUCAGCCACACUGGGACUGAGACACGGCCCCGACUCCGACGGAGGCAGCAGUGGGUAAUCUUGCACAAUGGGCGAGAGCCUGAUGCAGCCAUGCCGCGUGUAUGCAGAAGGCCUUAGGGUUGUAAAGUACUUUCAGCGGGGAGGCGUUACCCGCAGAAGAAGCCCCGGCUAACUCCGUGCCAGCAGCCGCGGUAAUAC
rnacentral:rRNA from 1 species